rnacentral:rRNA from 1 species
UACAGAGACUGCAAGCGUUAUUCGGAUUCACUGGGCGUAAAGGGUGCGCAGGCGGCCAUGUGUGUGAGGCGUGAAAGCCCGAUGCUUAACAUCGGAAUUGCACCUCAAACUACAUGGCUAGAGCAUUGGAGAGGGUAGCAGAAUUCAUGGUGUAGCAGUGAAAUGCGUAGAUAUAUGAGGGAAUACCCAGAGGCGAAGGCG